CCCAGCCUGCGGGACGGCAGCGCCGCCGGAGCGUUGCCCUUUUAAGCUGUGGCCCCGCUCGCCUCCUCCCCGGCUCCCGGAGGGGCUCCGGCAGCCGGCACCGACCGAGCGACACCGAGCGACCUCCGCGGGCGCCGAGCGGAGCGGAGCCCCAGGGCGGCGGCCAGCGGGCUGCCCCUGCCCUGCCCCGCCGCUCGGGGACCAUGGGAUGCUGCACCGGCCGCUGCACCCUCAUCUUCCUCUGCACUUUGCAGCUGCUCGCUGCACUGGAGAGGCAAGUGUUCGACUUCCUGGGGUACCAGUGGGCCCCCAUCCUCGCCAACUUCCUGCACAUCAUCAUCGUCAUCCUGGGGCUCUUCGGCACCAUCCAGUACAGACCCCGCUACAUCGUGGUGUAUGCCAUCUGGACUGCAGUCUGGGUCACCUGGAACAUCUUCAUCAUCUGCUUUUACUUAGAAGUGGGAGGGCUCUCAAAGGACAGCGAGCUCCUGACAUUCAACAUCUCCCGGCACCAAUCCUGGUGGAGUGAAAAUGGCCCUGGCUGUGUAAGGAAGGAGGCUUCCAUGUCUGGCAUCAAGGGGCUGGAUAACCAUUCCUACAUCUCUGUCAUCGGCUGUGCCCUGGAGUACCGCUACAUCGAGGUCAUGCACAGCUCCUUCCAGAUCCUCAUCGCGCUGGUGGGCUUUGUGUACGCCUGUUACGUGGUUAGUGUUUUUACAGAAGAAGAAGACAGCUUUGAUUUCAUUGGUGGAUUUGAUCCAUUUCCUCUCUACCAUGUCAAUGAAAAACCCACCAACCUUUUGUUCAAGCAGACAUACCUGUAGACUUUUCCCCAAACAAACAACAUGAAUUUGCAAACUCUUUUGAUCAUCCUGAAGCUGCAUGUGUAAGAGGCCUGCGUAAGUGAAGAGGAGCCAGAGGAUGGAUAAACCUUGCACUCCACCAAAGGUGCUGCAGGAAACAGUCCCCUGGGGCCUGGAUCUUUGGCAGAGGAAAUGCAGGAUGGUGAACUCCACUCCGUUUUUUUGUUCCUUGUCUCCUUUUCAAACGCAAUGAAUGUACAUCAAAGAACGGCCACAUGGUUGGUUUUUAAUCCUCCAAGUGCCCUGAUGAACCUUUCCUACCACAGUCUGCUGGUACUGGCCCAGAAGUGGCACAGGCCUAAAGACCUCUGGCAGAGCAAGUUCACCAAGAGCCUCUCAAGAGCUGCAGUUGAAGUCGGAGCUGCUUCCUUGUGCCACGGAUCCAGAAGAAGGAAGCACUGCCCAACACCCUGGGACAUUUCAUACCUUCUGUAGUUAGCGUCCUCUCCUUUUUCUGAACAGAGCCUAAAUCCCCUAACACGACUUCACAUCCUCCCUGCCUGUGUAAAAUGAGGUGGGGGCUCUUUACACCCGAGUUACUUAGGCAUUGUCGGGUUCCAAGUUAGAGAUGAGAACUUCUCCCUCCUUUGUCCCCACCCAGCCAGGAGCCCUUGCUCGUUCUCUGUAGACAUGGCAGCAGCUUUGUCCUGGAGCUCAGGGUGCUGUGGCCUGACUCCUGUAACGCUGAACAGCUGGAAACUACGGCAGCCAUCAGCUCUUCACUCAGCUUCACCCCGUUCCAACCAGCCCAGCCAUGCUUGGAGCAGCUGUAGCUUACCCUGGGACUGCCCAGCUACGUUGAAUUAACCCUGGUGUAGCUGAAUCCUGCUGCAGGCCCUGGAAAAGCCCCAGUUCCUCAUGGAUCAGAGGUGCCUUCAUCACCUACAGCCAUGCCUAUUCCAUGGAAACAGCCUGCUGGAAGAGUCUCAUUUGUGACAAGCUUUUUGUGGGGAGGGAAAGGGCUGAAGGGGAAAUGCAAGUGUAAUUAAGUUGCAUUAAUGAGCUGCAGCAGUUGAUUAAAAAGAAGAACAAACCAAGAAAGCCAAGUCAGCUUUGUUAGCUGUGUCUCCCAGCAUGUUACGUGUCAAAAGCAGAGGAGGAGCAGUUGUCAGCCAGACCUGGUAUUUUUGGGCUGGUACUUCAAGUGCUGUUGUAAUUCAUUAUUGUCUUGCCUAAUUUGUUUGGGAUUACUUGGCAUUUUUUGAGAAAUGCUUUUCAGAAGGGUCAAGCUUGAAGCUAUGCUAGGGAGAAGUGUGAGGGAAAAAUUAAAUAAAAAAUAAAAACAUUAAGUGCUAAAUCAAAGACAGAAUGAUGCAGCUUUUUUUUUUUUUUUUUUUGUCUCAUUCCACAGGGCCCAGGAAGCAAAAUCCACUCUUAUAAACCCAAAUGUACAUGCACUGAGAAAGUAUUUUUUGCUUCUGUUUCAGAUAGCCAAACAUCCUGAGUUCUGCUUGGGUGCAGCUGCAAGUAAAAAUGUUGUUUUUUGUAGGGUGUUUUUUCCCUUAUUUUAGGCACCAAAAUCCACAGCUUCUCACUGUGCAAAACAGACAACUAGUUUCAUCCUAGUUUAAUACCUUAAAGAAAAAAGGUCAACCCUGACAGCUCUGCAUGACAAAAGAGUAAUAAGUAAGAGUAAUAAGUACCUCCCUUAUUAGUGAUAUUGUGUCACUACUGAGUUAAAAAUAGCAGUGAAACACAAGCUGCUCUCCAUUUUGAGAUCAUACACAGCAGUGUGCACACACUUAGAAUUCUUUCUCCACUUCUCCUUUAUUCACUUUCUUUAUGGAUCACACAUUCCUGUCUGCCAACCUGAUGGUCCCUGGAGAGGCAGAAAAACAAAAAGAGACAAAGAAUACACAACCUCUGUUCAAUGAGAUUUUCCCAGGAAAGUUUGCAUUUGUUUGGGGCUUUGCAAAUUAAUCUUUCCUUUUCUCAUUAAGCACUGACUUCACACAUUUUAGGUUUAAUAUGGUUUCUUUUCCUCAGAGAGAGUAUUAUCAAUCAGAUACCAGCAGUCUUUGUCAGCCUUGUUUGGGAGCAAUCAAAAAUCAGCAUAGAUGGUGGAAAAAGCACAGUUUCAGCUCUGAAUACCUGGAACAUUUUACUGGUAAUUUCAGGCAGCAAUUCCUCUAGAAGGUAAAGGAGGGAAUUUCUGGAAUUGAGAUCUAUAUGUUUUUAACACUACACCUCUCCAGCUGACCAAGCCUUGAUGCCACUUUCACCAAUUAAACUGAUCAAAACUCAUUACCAAGCACUCUAAAGAGAUGAAGCAUCAAACUCUGCAUUUAACAGCAUUGUCUCUUGGCUUUCAUAGACACUAGUAAAGAUGAAUGAAAUAAAAAUGUGAUGAC